rnacentral:rRNA from 1 species
AUUGAACGCUGGCGGAAUGCUUUACACAUGCAAGUCGAACGGUAGAGGGGGCAACCCCUCGAGAGUGGCGAACGGGUGAGUAAUAUAUCGGAACGUGCCCAGUCGUGGGGGAUAACGUAGCGAAAGUUACGCUAAUACCGCAUACGAUCUAAGGAUGAAAGCGGGGGAUCGCAAGACCUCGCGCGAUUGGAGCGGCCGAUAUCAGAUUAGGUAGUUGGUGGGGUAAAGGCUCACCAAGCCAACGAUCUGUAGCUGGCCUGAGAGGACGACCAGCCACACUGGAACUGAGACACGGUCCAGACUCCUACGGGAGGCAGCAGUGGGGAAUUUUGGACAAUGGACGCAAGUCUGAUCCAGCCAUUCCGCGUGCAGGAUGAAGGCCCCCGGGUUGUAAACUGCUUUUGUACGGAACGAAAAGGUCUCUCUUAAUACGGGGGGCUCAUGACGGUACCGUAAGAAUAAGCACCGGCUAACUACGUGCCAGCCGCCGCGGUAA